UUGGGUUAGUCCGCAACCNAGCGCACCCCUAAACUUAGUUGCCAGCACGUUAAGGUGGGCACUCUAGGUUGACUGCCGGUGACAAACCGGAGGAAGGCGGGGAUGACGUCAAAUCAUCAUGCCCCUUAUGACCUGGGCUACACACGUACUACAAUGGCCGGUACAACGGGUCGCGAAGCCGCGAGGUGGAGCCAAUCCCAUCAAAGCCGGUCUCAGUUCGGAUUGCAGGCUGCAACUCGCCUGCAUGAAGUCGGAAUUGCUAGUAAUCGCGGAUCAGCAUGCCGCGGUGAAUACGUUCCCGGGUCUUGUACACACCGCCCGUCACACCACGAGAGUUUACAACACCCGAAGCCGGUGGGGUAACCCGCAAGGGAGCCAGCCGUCGAAGGUGGGGUAGAUGAUUGGGGUGAAGUCGUAACAAGGUAACCA
rnacentral:rRNA from 1 species